rnacentral:rRNA from 1 species
AAAGACUUGACGGUACUUCAUAUCAGCCUAGAGGAGCCUGUCUAAUAACCGAUACUCCACGAUUAACCCCACCCACCCUAGCCUAACAGUCUAUAUACCGCCGUCGCCAGCUUACCUUGUGAAAGCAAAAAAGUGAGCCCAACAGAUUCACCCCUAACACGACAGGUCGAGGUGUAACUCAUGGGUUGGUAAAAGAUGGGCUACAUUUUCUACACCAGAAAAUACGAAUAAGCUAUGAAACUAGAAACUGAAGGCGGAUUUAGUAGUAUGAUAAGAACAGAAUGCUUAACAGAAA